CUAUGGGUAGCUUAGUUGGCAGAGCAUGAGACUUGUAAUCUCAGGGUCGUGGGUUCAAGCCCCAUGUUGGGGA